rnacentral:rRNA from 1 species
CCUACGGGAGGCUACAGUGAGGAAUAUUGGUCAAUGGACGAGAGUCUGAACCAGUCAAGUAGCGUGAAGGAUGACUGCCCUAUGGGUUGUAAACUUCUUUUAUAAAGGAAUAAAACGAGGCACGUGUGCCUUUUUGCAUGUACUUUAUGAAUAAGGAUCGGCUAACUCCGUGCCAGCAGCCGCGGUAAUACGGAGGAUCCGAGCGUUAUCCGGAUUUAUUGGGUUUAAAGGUAGCGUAGAUGGGUUGUUAAGUCAGUUGUGAAAGUUUGCGGCUCAACCGUAAAAUUGCAAUUGAUACUGGCAGUCGUGAGUACAGUUGAGGUAGGCGGAAUUCGUGGUGUAGCGGUGAAAUGCUUAGAUAUCACGAAGAACCCCGAUUGCGAAGGCAGCUUACUAAACUGUGACUGACAUUGAUGCUCGAAAGCGUGGGUAUCAAACAGGAUUAGAUACCCCUGUAGUC